rnacentral:rRNA from 1 species
CAUAAUCUCUGAGGAGAAAAGCAGGGGAUCGCAAGACCUUGCGCUUUUGGAGCGGCCGAUGUCUGAUUAGCUAGUUGGUGGGGUAAUGGCUUACCAAGGCWWCGAUCAGUAGCUGGUCUGAGAGGACGGCCAGCCACACUGGGACUGAGACACGGCCCAGACUCCUACGGGAGGCAGCAGUGGGGAAUUUUGGACAAUGGGNGCAAGCCUGAUCCAGCCAUGCCGCGUGAGUGAAGAAGGCCUUCGGGUUGUAAAGCUCUUUCAGCCGGGAAGAAAAGGUUGCGGCUAAUAAYCGCAAUUCAU